rnacentral:lncRNA from 10 species
UGUACAGCUCCUCAUCACCACUACAGUUCUGGCGAUGAGUAUGGGAAGGCUGACACCUGACUCAUUCCAAAGCCUACAGAUGAGAUCCUGGGACAACUGACAAAAGCCAGCAAAAAGAGAUAUGAUUAGACUGCUUUGAGGAAUGGAAAUUGGUUGACUCUUCUGGAGCCAAUAAAAAGACUCUAGGAAAAACUGGCCUGGUAUCUUGUCCAUACAGUUCUCUGACACCCUCCGUAACCCUGUGAAAGCAUAUCUCAUGUACUACACGGAGGGAGCAGUGAGAAACUAUGGGAAAGGCAAAGGCCAUCUUGCUCCUUCAAUGGGCCUUCUCUGUUCAUCUUUGUGGCAGGAUGCCUAUUGGAAGUCAACAGAAAGCUACUCUUUCUCUUUUCCCUUUUAUUCUGCCUUCAGAGAGCAGAAAUUGUUUCACUCUUUCUUGCAAUUGAAGAUUCACUAUUCCCAGCGUUUUCCAAACCUACAUCCCAUUUCUGCCUUCUAUGACCAUUUCAGUGGCAAACUUGUGGAAGGUGAAUCAGGUAUCACUGGCCUGCCACCCACUUCAUUAAAUGUGUCACUAUUCCUUUUAAUAUUCUGAGUGAAAUCAUUCUAGCAAAUGACAAACUGUGAAGAUGGCACAUAUAUUAGCUUAAAAGAAAAUAAUGUUAUCACAAAUUAUAUUCAAUAUACAAUUAAUACAGUCAAAUGUUUAUUAGCUACUGCAGUUAGUGAUACUUGUAUUUAGCCAAGGCGAACUCUUCUGUUCCCAGUAGAGAACAACUUUUGUACUGUAAUGGUAAACAAACACUAUUGCUGAUCUCUCCAACACUUAAUACUAGUUCACGUCAAAAGGAAGAAUCUAUUACCAUUUAACUUACCUAUUCCUAUUUUAAAUUAGUAUUAGAAAGAUGAUUUUAUCUUAAGCCAAAUCAUCUUCAGCAGUGCAUCUUGCGCUGCUCCAGAUUCCACUAGAGAAGGUAGAGGAAACUCCUGCUGUAACCACCUUCAUACAAAUACUUUCACUGCUGAUGGCCUAGAUGGCUACUUUUCUGGAUUACCAAGGGCAUACUAGAAAUCUCCACCUCCCUUACCACAGGUAUCUUGAACGCAAUGUAACCACAACAAAUCCAUUAUCAUUUUCCCCCAAAGUCCUCCUUCUCUACAUUUCUUUUCUCAGUCAAUGGACCAGCAUUUAUCAAGUUACCCAAGCCUUAUACACUCACUCAGUCAGCCCCCAAUACCAAUUGCUUCUAUCCCCUUAAGUCAACUCACAAGUACUCUCUCAUCACAUCUACAUUUUGCAGCACUGUGGGUUUCCCACCUAAUACUCAUUCCCUUUAUCCUUCUAAGUGAACCAUGAUUUUAUUCAGGUAGAAGUUCAUAUGCUUCAAGAAAGGCUCAGUUUCUUUCUAGGCCCUAGAGUGUGGGUCUUGAUUUAUCCAAACCAGCACUAUACAAUGGGAAUUGCUGUAAUGAUGGAAAUGAUUUAUAAUCUGCUGUGUUCAAUAUGGUAGGCACUAUGUGUGACUAUUAAGCAUCUGAUUUGUGACAAGAGCAAAUGAUGCACAGAAUUUUUAAUUGUAUGUAAUUUUAUCUAAUUUAAAUCUAAAUAGUCACAUGUGACUAAUGACUGCUUUAUCAGACAGUGCGUAUACCGAUCAGGGUGUUUCCUUAUCAAUCACCAAUGACUCAUGCAGGAAUGGACAUUUGACAGAAUUUUGGCUAAGUUAGACAUGAGAAGGAGCCUGACAGAGAACUUCUGGCAAACUUCUCCCUCUUCAAAAGAGAUAAAGAAUGGGACAUUCUUCUGUUCUCUAGGUGUUGUGUAAAGACAAGAGAGUUAGAGCUUUUAUAGGCAUCUUAAAUCCAUGAGGAGACAAUCCUCAGGACAAAUGACUGACUACCUACUGAGGAGAUACAAGAAAAAAAUGGAAAUAAUCUGAGUCCUCAAUCACAUCUAAAAUAAGCUGCUGAAUUAACAGCAUUGCCAUCUCUCUUCUGAAAUUAUUUGUGUGAGAUAAUAAACCUCCUUAUUUUUAGAUCUGUUGACUUGGCAAUUCUAUAUCUUUAGGUAAAAAAGCAUUCUCAGGUGCUAACUUCCUAACCUCAAUUCCUUCUAGUCUAUUAUUCAAGCAUCCAUUAUUUUUCCUUCACAAGACUUAACAGUUUAUAACUAGAUAUUUUGUGUCUUAGUUGUGUGCUUUUUGUCUAUUCCCGCAUCAGCUUUUAGCCUCUGGAAAACAGAUAUCAUGCAUGUUUGACCCUCCAUUGUAUGUCAUCAUGGCAUAGCACACAUACUGGCAGUAUGUGGGUCCACAAUAAAUAGAUCCUGA